rnacentral:tRNA from 1 species
GCCGGAGUGGCGGAAUUGGUAGACGCAGGGGACUCAAAAUCCCCCGGGCCGCGGGCCUGUGCGAGUUCGAGUCUCGCCUCCGGCACCA